rnacentral:rRNA from 1 species
UACGUAGGGGGCUAGCGUUGUCCGGAAUCAUUGGGCGUAAAGAGCGUGUAGGCGGCCCUGGUAAGUCCGCUGUAAAAGUCAAAGGCUCAACCUUUGAAUGUCAGUGGAUACUGCCGGGCUAGAGUCCGGAAGAGGCGAGUGGGAAUUCUCGGUGUAGCGGUGAAAUGCGUAGAGAUCGGGAAGAACACCAGUGGCGAAGGCGACGUGCUGGGUUGCACCUGACGCUGAGAUGCGAAAGUGUGGGGAGCAAACGGG